rnacentral:lncRNA from 1 species
CGGAUUUUUACGAGAUGGGUCAAACUGAGGUCACUUUGCAUACAGAAAGUAUAUGUACAUAAGUUUUAUAAUUGAAAACUAUCCAUUGUGUUAUAAAAAAACAUAUGCAUUAUUUUUUUUUUUAAUUUGAGGUUUCUUAUGACUUUAAUAAAAUUGAGAAUGGAAAUGGGGAAUGUGUCAAAGAGACAACAACCCGACCAAAUAAAAAACAACAGCAGAGGGUCACCAACAGGUCUUGUGUCCGGGGCUCAACAAAGGUAUAUACUAUAUAAUGAUAUACUAAGUAUGUUAAAUUAACCAUGUGUUCGUAUCCAGUCGUCCUGGUGUAGUGGUUUGAGUCGUGGAUUGAUAUGCUGAAGGACUUGAGUUCGAUUCCCAGCAUAGCCAUACGUUUUGACAGUUAGUCUUAUCUAUAUAAAUAAUUCUUAGUUUUAUUGUGGAUUAAGUAUUUCUGUCAAAAUGUUACAAAACAUAGGAAAGAAUAAUGAUCUGGUAGCGGUGAUCCGGCAUCACCUAUCGACCCACGACUCAAAUCCCUAACCAGGACGACUGGAUACGAACUCGCUGUUAAUUUAAUAUACUUAAAACAUUGUUUCCGGGCUAAUUAAAGGUAUAUACUAAAUAAUGAUAUACAUGUAUAAAGUAUAUAAUAAGGAUUGUUUGGCGUCCAAAACUAAAUUUAAUGAAGUGUAAAUGUUGGAUGUAAAAUAGUUAUCCCAUUCAGACUGCACUUGACAGUGUAAGAUCAUACACUGAAACACUGCGUCCUCAUUUGAUAACUAUUACUGAAACACCAAAUCCUACAAUUUAAUUGGUCGAAAGCACUUUGCUAUAUUCUAAUUGGGAUUAGUAUACAAAUCGACACACAGUCCAUAGUCCGUAAAACAUCGUUUAAAUUGUGUAUGUUAAUUGUGUUGACAGGUCAUUCAAUUUAUAACGUUAAUUUGUCAAAUUUUAAGACGAAUAUGUAUAUCACUCGUGGUAUUUAUCGAGCCUUAGUCUCAUUUCCUUUAUUUUUUUCAAAGUGAAAAUCGUGCAAUUUCUGUUUUGUAGGAGCCGAUCUUAAUUAUUCAUAUUAAUUCAAAGUAGCAGUAAUAAUUGUAUAUUUCCUUUUAGGGUCCAGGUGACAUUUCUGGUGGAUGUCGCUGUAGAGUUAAUGCUAAACCUUGCCAUCCAGACUGUAAUAAUUGUCAUUAAGACUCCGUGCCUAGUAUCAUCUAGCAGCAGUGAGGAAUAUUUUUAUGAUAAAUGUGUAUACUAUAUAUUGCUGUGUAUUUUUAACCAAAUAAAUAUU